rnacentral:rRNA from 1 species
AUUGAACGCUGGCGGCAUGCUUUACACAUGCAAGUCGAACGGUAACAGGCCGCUAGGUGCUGACGUGUGGCGAACGGGGGUGUAAUACGUCUGAACGUGCCCAUGCUUGGGGGAGAACUAGUCGGGAGAGGAGCGAAUACCGCGCACGAGCUAUGGAUGAAAGCGGGGGAGCGUAUCGCCUCGCGCGCUUUGAGCUGCCUAUGUCGGAUUAGGUAGUUGGUGGGGUAAAGGCGCACCAAGCCAACGAUCUGUAACUGGUCUGAGAGGAUGACCAGUCACACUGGAACUGAGACACGGCCCAGACUCCUACGGGAGGCAGCAGUGGGGAAUUUUGGACAAUGGGCGAAAGCCUGAUCCAGCCAUGCCGCGUGUAGGAAGAAGGCCUUCGGGUUGUAAACCACUUUUGUUCGGAACGAAACGCAUCUAGUUAAUACCCGGCUCUAAUGACGUUACCGUCAGAAUAAGCACCGGCUAACUACGUG